AACGUAGGACACAAGCGUUAUCCGGAUUUACUGGGCGUAAAGGGCGCGUAGGCGGCAUGACAAGUCACUUGUGAAAUCUCCGGGCUUAACUCGGAACGGUCAAGUGAUACUGUCGCGCUAGAGUGCGGAAGGGGCAAUCAGAAUUCUUGGUGUAGCGGUGAAAUGCGUAGAUAUCAAGAGGAAUACCUGAGGUGAAGACGGGUUGCUAGGCCGACACUGACGCUGAAGCGCGAAAGCCAGGGGAGCAAACGGG
rnacentral:rRNA from 1 species